UUAGAAACUUUCUAAUCAAUUAUAACUUGAAAACAUGAUUCUAAGAUCUAUAAUUAAGUAUGAAUCACCAUAAACAAGAUUUAAAGCUUACCUACGCAUCGUGAUUCAAGUUUUGCAUGUUUUGCGUCUUUUCCGAUUCUUCGAAGUCAUGGAUUCUUCGAUCUUCAAUAUUCCGCUCCGAACUUCUUCAAGACUCCGACUCGACCCACGAAACUUACCAACACAUAGGACCUAACACAUAUCACCCACAAAU
rnacentral:lncRNA from 1 species